GUGAGUAACGCGUGAGAAUCUGCCCAUUUGUGGGGGAUAACUCGGGGAAACUCGAGCUAAUACCGCAUAAUCCCUACGGGGGAAAGCAGGGGACCUUCGGGCCUUGUGCAGAUGGAUGAGCUCGCGUCGGAUUAGCUUGUUGGUGAGGUAAAGGCUCACCAAGGCGACGAUCCGUAGCUGGUCUGAGAGGAUGAUCAGCCACACCGGGACUGAGACACGGCCCGGACUCCUACGGGAGGCAGCAGUGGGGAAUCUUGGACAAUGGGGGCAACCCUGAUCCAGCCAUGCCGCGUGUGUGAAGAAGGCCUUCGGGUUGUAAAGCACUUUCAGUAGGGAGGAAGGCUUACCGCUAAUAACGGUGAGUACUUGACGUUACCUACAGAAGAAGCACCGGCUAAUUUCGUGCCAGCAGCCGCGGUAAUACGAAAGGUGCGAGCGUUAAUCGGAAUUACUGGGCGUAAAGCGCGCGUAGGCGGUUUGUUAAGUCAGAUGUGAAAGCCCCGGGCUCAACCUGGGAAUUGCAUUUGAAACUGGCAGGCUAGAGUGCAGUAGAGGGAGGUG
rnacentral:rRNA from 1 species